rnacentral:lncRNA from 1 species
AAUGGAAUGAGGUGUUCAUCCUUAGGCUUAUAAUAAAGCCUUUCUUCAUCUUCAUUGGAGUCCACACACGCACAGAGAAAAGGAUAAGAGAGAGCAAUGUAGAGAGAGGGAAACUAAUGGAAGAGUUCUAUAUAGAAAUAUGGAGAGCAGCCAACCACUUGAAAGCAUAAAACUGCAGCCUUUGACUUAGUAAAUUCUAUAUGUUUGACUGGAAUCCAUAUAAUUUACGAGCUACAUCAAAUUAAAGGUGAGAAGAAUUGAUAUUUCUUUGCCUUCACUGAAUGUUUGGAAUUUAUAUUCGAUAUAAAUUGCUUUCAUGAAAAUCUUGAAUGAAGAUAUUAUAGCUUGAUUUGUUUAUAUUGCAGUAUUGAGAAAGGCAUGGCCUAGGUUAUAGUCGUGAUGACUGAUGCAUAAACUCCUACUUUGUUAUGUUCUUGUUAUGGAAUUAUAUAUAUUAAUGUUUGUAAGUACUUUUUAUUUCGAAUGUUUUGUUGAAAAGUUAUGUAGAAUAUACAAAUCGUGUUGUCAAUAUUACAUGAAUGCAUAGCAUGAAUGGUUUCUAUAAUAAUUAUUCG